CCUACGGGUGGCAGCAGUCGAGAAUUUUUCUCAAUGGGGGAAACCCUGAAGGAGCGACGCCGCGUGGAGGAUGAAGGUCUUCGGAUUGUAAACUCCUGUCAUUUGAGAACUAGUAUCAGAAGAGGAAGAGACGGCUAACUCUGUGCCAGCAGCCGCGGUAAUACAGAGGUCUCAAGCGUUGUUCGGAUUCAUUGGGCGUAAAGGGUGCGUAGGUGGCGGGGCAAGUCAGGUGUGAAAUCUCGAGGCUCAACCUCGAAACUGCACUUGAUACUGCCUUGCUCGAGUACUGGAGAGGAGAUUGGAAUUUACGGUGUAGCAGUGAAAUGCGUAGAUAUCGUAAGGAAGACCAGUGGCGAAGGCGAAUCUCUGGACAGUACUGACACUGAGGCACGAAGGCCAGGGGAGCAAACAGGAUUAGAUACCCUAGUAGUC
rnacentral:rRNA from 1 species